UUUCCGGUUCAAGUUCUAAUUUGUGCUCUGUAAUUUCUAAUAACCAUCUUUGUACCCUCAUCCAAUAUUUUUUAACCUCUGGACACUGCCACCACCUAUGGAAGAACGUUCCUUCUUUGUGUUUACACUUCCAACAUUCUGCUUUUGUGUUUGGAUAUAUUUUGGCCAGUCUUACUGGGGCCAGGUGCCACCUACAAAACAUUUUAUAUUGAUUUUCUUUAAAUGCUGUUGACAAUGUCAAUUUACAGUUGUCAAUCCACAUUUUUUCCCCAAUCCUCUAAAUUUAUAUUAUGCCCUACAUUUUUUGCCCAGGCAAUCAUUGAUCCCUUUACUAUUUCCUCUUCUAAUUCUACUUCCAACAAAUAGUUAUACAUUCUUGUUAUAAAUUUUAUCUCCUUGCCUGUCAAAAUUUGGUCCAGUUGUUGUAAGUCUUUUUCUAUCCCUUGUUCUUCUAAGUCCUUCCUAAAUUUUGUCUGAAUUUGUAAAUAUUACCACCAAUCUAUAAUUAUGUCUUGUUCUUUUAAUUUAUCAAUCAUUUGUAACUUCCCCUGAUUAUCUAAUAGUUCUUCAUAUCUGACCAUUUUCCUUGUAUCUCUCAUAUUUGGAUGUAAUAUCGCUUCCAUUGGUGAGACCUAUUUUGGUAUCUUCUUAUUAUGUUUUCUUUUAACCUUUUCCCAAGUUUGCAGUAGUGAUUCUCUUAUCAAAUGUCUAUGGAAGUAUGAAUGUGUCUUGUUUAUAUAAAGAUG